rnacentral:rRNA from 1 species
UACGUAGGGUGCAAGCGUUGUCCGGAAUUAUUGGGCGUAAAGGGCUCGUAGGCGGUCCAUCGCGUCGGGAGUGAAAAGCUGGGGCUCAACCCCAGUCCUGCUUCCGAUACGGGCGGACUAGAGGUAUGCAGGGGAGAACGGAAUUCCUGGUGUAGCGGUGAAAUGCGCAGAUAUCAGGAGGAACACCGGUGGCGAAAGCGGCUUCCUGGUCCGACACCGACGUUCAGGCACGAAAGCGUGGGGAGCAAACAGG